rnacentral:rRNA from 4 species
AAAUUGAAGAGUUUGAUCAUGGCUCAGAUUGAACGCUGGCGGCAGGCCUAACACAUGCAAGUCGAACGGUAACAGGAAGCAGCUUGCUGCUUCGCUGACGAGUGGCGGACGGGUGAGUAAUGUCUGGGAAACUGCCUGAUGGAGGGGGAUAACUACUGGAAACGGUGGCUAAUACCGCAUAAUGUCGCAAGACCAAAGAGGGGGACCUUCGGGCCUCUUGCCAUCAGAUGUGCCCAGAUGGGAUUAGCUUGUUGGUGAGGUAACGGCUCACCAAGGCGACGAUCCCUAGCUGGUCUGAGAGGAUGACCAGCCACACUGGAACUGAGACACGGUCCAGACUCCUACGGGAGGCAGCAGUGGGGAAUAUUGCACAAUGGGCGCAAGCCUGAUGCAGCCAUGCCGCGUGUAUGAAGAAGGCCUUCGGGUUGUAAAGUACUUUCAGCGGGGAGGAAGGUGUUGUGGUUAAUAACCGCAGCAAUUGACGUUACCC